GAUAAACGCUGGCGGCGCACAUAAGACAUGCAAGUCGAACGGACUUAACCAUUAGUUUACUAUUGGAGCGGUUAGUGGCGGACUGGUGAGUAACACGUAAGCAACCUGCCUAUCAGAGGGGAACAACAGUUAGAAAUGACUGCUAAUACCGCAUAUACCUAAGUAUCGCAUGGUACAAUAGGGAAAGGAGCAAUCCGCUGAUAGAUGGGCUUGCGUCUGAUUAGAUAGUUGGUGGGGUAACGGCCUACCAAGUCGACGAUCAGUAGCCGACCUGAGAGGGUGACCGGCCACAUUGGGACUGAGACACGGCCCAG
rnacentral:rRNA from 1 species